ACCUGUCACAGAACAAUGAACCAAAACAAAACUCAUCAAUUAAAUAAUGGUUCAAUUACACCAUCGCCAAACAUUCAGUUCGUGAGUGCGUGCAUAAUAGUGUCGUGAUGGGUAGCCGUUUCCCAUAUCAAAAUUCGGUGAAAAACGGCCAACAUUCCUCCUCCCGCGAAGGCGGCAACCAUUUUCGGCGUCCGGAAGAAAUAACUGAGCAUGAUGCCGUUAACCAACGCUUCCUGGAACGCAACAAUCCACCCGAAAAGAUCGUUUGUCUCUCCUGCGGAGAGGAAUUUCUCAAGGAAACCAUCGCCGAAAUAAUGAAGCACUAUGGGGAUCAAGCGCACGAUCGGUUCUAUACUGCCUGCCUAUACUGUCAGGGCAAGAUCCACCGCUAUCGGGAUAGUAAAGGGGUGCAGUACUACCACGAUUGCUACCGAUCCACCAACAAGCUGGACCAGUGAAGCGUACUACAAUGGAUGUUACGCUUUUUUUCAGCAUUAUUAUUGCGAGAAAGUAAAAAAAGAUCAACUCUUGCCAACUAGAAGCUCAUGUUCCAAAGAUUAGUAACUAACAUCUAGUAGCUUUUGUUUAUUAUUCUCGAAAAGUAUCUCCGAAGACUGAGAAAAAAUGUGACUCAUUCCAUCAGUAUUUAUAGAUGGAAUAGACCUGUAAACUGUAUUUUGAAGUAUUUAAUAAAUCGCUUAAAUACCAAG